AGCAUAUCAAUAAGCGGAGGAAAAGAAACCAACAGGGAUUGCCCUAGUAACGGCGAGUGAAGCGGCAACAGCUCAAAUUUGAAAUCUGGCUCUUUUAGGGUCCGAGUUGUAAUUUGCAGAGGGCGCUUUGGCUUUGGCAGCGGUCCAAGUUCCUUGGAACAGGACGUCACAGAGGGUGAGAAUCCCGUACGUGGUCGCUAGCUAUUGCCGUGUAAAGCCCCUUCGACGAGUCGAGUUGUUUGGGAAUGCAGCUCUAAAUGGGAGGUAAAUUUCUUCUAAAGCUAAAUACUGGCCAGAGACCGAUAGCGCACAAGUAGAGUGAUCGAAAGAUGAAAAGCACUUUGGAAAGAGAGUCAAACAGCACGUGAAAUUGUUGAAAGGGAAGCGCUUGCAGCCAGACUUGCUUGCAGUUGCUCAUCCGGGCUUUUGCCCGGUGCACUCUUCUGCAGGCAGGCCAGCAUCAGUUUGGGCGGUGGGAUAAAGGUCUCUGUCACGUACCUCUCUUCGGGGAGGCCUUAUAGGGGAGACGACAUACCACCAGCCUGGACUGAGGUCCGCGCAUUCGCUAGGAUGCUGGCGUAAUGGCUGUAAGCGGCCCGUCUUGAAACACGGACCAAGGAGUCUAACAUCUAUGCGAGUGUUUGGGUGUCAAGCCCGAACGCGUAAUGAAAGUGAACGGAGGUGGGAACCCGCAAGGGUGCACCAUCGACCGAUCCUGAUGUCUUCGGAAGGAUUUGAGUAAGAGCAUGGCUGUUGGGACCCGAAAGAUGGUGAACUAUGCUUGAAUAGGGUGAAGCCAGAGGAAACUCUGGUGGAGGCUCGCAGCGGUUCUGACGUGCAAAUCGAUCGUCAAAUUUGGGCAUAGGGGCGAAAGACUAAUCGAACUAUCUAGUAGCUGGUUCCUGC
rnacentral:rRNA from 1 species